rnacentral:rRNA from 1 species
AUAUCAAUAAGCGGAGGAAAAGAAACUAACAAGGAUUCCCCUAGUAACUGCGAGUGAAGCGGGAAAAGCUCAAAUUUAAAAUCUGAUGGUCUUUGGCCGUCCGAGUUGUAAUUUAGAGAAGCGUUUUCCGCGCUGGACCGUGCACAAGUCUCCUGGAAUGGAGCGUCAUAGAGGGUGAGAAUCCCGUCUUUGGCACGGAUACCCCAGGGCUUUUGUGAUGCGCUCUCGAAGAGUCGAGUUGUUUGGGAAUGCAGCUCAAAAUGGGUGGUGAACUCCAUCUAAAGCUAAAUAUUGGCGAGAGACCGAUAGCGAACAAGUACCGUGAGGGAAAGAUGAAAAGAACUUUGGAAAGAGAGUUAAACAGUACGUGAAAUUGCUGAAAGGGAAACGCUUGAAGUCAGUCGCGUUGUCCAGGGAUCAACCUUGCUUUUGCUUGGUGCACUUCUCGGCUGACGGGUCAGCAUCAAUUUCGCCCCUUGGAUAAUGGCGAGGGAAAUGUGACACCUUUGCGGUGUGUUAUAGUCUCUCGUCGCAUGCAAGGGUUGGGAUUGAGGAACUCAGCACGCGCCUUUGGGUGUCGGGGCUUUGCCCACGAUACGUGCUUAGGAUGUUGGCGUAAUGGCUUUAAACGA